AUUGGCAACAGCAACCUGAAAAGUAGGCACCAUGGACAAAACCCGUUGUGAAAAGAAAGCAUGAUUCUUGGAUACACAUUAAUUCACUUGGACACUCCGUCUCCGUAUCAAACGUUGGAUUGGACCUAAUCUCGAACUACACAUGAACAUUCAAAGGAUGGAAUUCAUAUCGUAACCGAUCAUUAUGUUUCCACAAACCGUACCGUUGGACAUCCCAAAAUUAACCAUGAAAUGAUGACCAUCAACCCUAGUUCCAGCAGAUGUGUGUUUCUCAAAUGAACAAUCAAAGACUUUAUUUUUUUCUAUUGAUGACAUUUAAUAAAAAAAUUGUAUAUGUAUAUAACAUUUUGAAGCUUUGGGGUCCAAAGCAGUUGGGCCAGGGAGGAGUUGUCACAGUGUAAUUUUGCUUAAAAAUUCUUAUUUGAAUUUUUAUUAAGAAAAGCCUUAUUUUAAUAUUUGAAUUUUUAUAUUGCAAUAAUUUUAUUUUUAAUGAAAAACAUUUUGAAGUUUUGUUACAAAUAGACGCUUCAUUCAUUCUUUGUUAAAUUUAGCUUAACUUUAUUUAUUCUUUGUCGC
rnacentral:lncRNA from 1 species